GAAGAAGAUCAAAAAAACAUAUCAACUUUUUUCAAUAGAAAUAGACCGUUUCUAUAGCAAAUGGCAAAGGACUUGAUGGUUGAUAUCCGAGACUCAAGUUUGAAUUUUAAUUGAUUCACAUUUCUAGCUAAGUUAUUUCUAAAUAAAAUAAACGAAGCGGGUAGCGUGCUACAUAUUUUUCAAAAAAAAAAAUUUCUUCAAUACUAACAGAGUUCAAAAAUAUAGAAAAAUUUAAAUUAAUUUUGAUACCAUCAU
rnacentral:lncRNA from 1 species